CAGGUACUCCCUCCGUCCGAAAAUACUUGUCAUUGAAAUGGAUGUAUCUAGAUGUAUUUUAGUUAUAGAUACAUCCAUUUUCAUCCAUUUUGAUGACAAGUAUUUCCGGACGGAGAGAGUAGCAG
rnacentral:pre_miRNA from 1 species